rfam:Echinostoma caproni strain Egypt genome assembly, scaffold: ECPE_scaffold0012387
GUAUUGCUGAUGAGACCUAAACAGGUCGAAACAGCUGUCCAGCGC